GAUGAAGAACGUAGCGAAAUGCGAUAAGUAAUGUGAAUUGCAGAAUUCAGUGAAUCAUCGAAUCUUUGAACGCACAUUGCGCCCGCCAGUAUUCUGGCGGGCAUGCCUGUUCGAGCGUCAUUUCAACCAUCAAGCCCCAGGCUUGUGUUGGGGACCUGCGGCUGCCGCAGGCCCUGAAAACCAGUGGCGGGCUCGCUGUCACACCGGGCGUAGUAGAUUUUAUCUCGCUCAGGGCGUGCUGCGGGUUCCGGCCGUUAAAAAGCCUUUUUUACCCAAGGUUGACCUCGGAUCUGGUAGGAAGACCCGCUGAACUUAAGCAUAUCAAUAAGCGGAGGA
rnacentral:misc_RNA from 1 species